UAUGGAAAGUUAAUUAGAAGAAACAAUUUUUUCUGAAGUGUUGGUUAGAAAGAAAAUCUAGAUUAAGCCCAAGUUAUUAAAAAUACUAGAUGACAUCUUUAAGAUAGUCAUCAGGGAUGCUCUCAACUUGACCCUUAUCAGGGUAUCAGUCGGACACUAGGCGAUGGCCUAGAGAACAAAUUUAUACAUGUGGACCAACUAAUACGAAAUGAAUACCUUCAGCCUUGGAUUGCUCCCCUAAUAUUUAAAUGCUCUCUGACCUCCCAACCAAACGAGUCAAUUACCAGUUUGAGUAAAAACUUAGAGUGCUAACGGAAGUCUUAAAUGGACUUGGAACUUUUAGUUCAUCAAACAUCUCAGGCAAAGGAUCUCAGUUCAGAAAGGAUUGUUUCUAAGGAACUGACUGACUCAAAAUAUUUCAUCAAUUUGGGGUGAGGGAGGGGAGGGGGAGGGGAAUUCCCUUUACAUUAGACAGUAAUUAUCGUCUAACUACUUGACUUAU